rnacentral:rRNA from 1 species
CCACAUCCGCAUCCUUUGCUGAGGAUACGGUUAACGGAGCGAAAGCGACGUUCAACCGCAAAACAAGCAGAGGGGGCUUAGUGGUGGGGUGACUGCGUACCUUUUGUAUAAUGGGUCAGCGACUUAUAUUCUGUAGCAAGGUUAACCGUAUAGGGGAGCCGUAGGGAAACCGAGUCUUAACCGGGCGUUAAGUUGCAGGGUAUAGACCCGAAACCCGGUGAUCUAGCCAUGGGCAGGUUGAAGGUUGGGUAACACUAACUGGAGGACCGAACCGACUAAUGUUGAAAAAUUAGCGGAUGACCUGUGGCUGGGGGUGAAAGGCCAAUCAAACCGGGAGAUAGCUGGUUCUCCCCGAAAGCUAUUUAGGUAGCGCCUCGUGAAUUCAUCUCCGGGGGUAGAGCACUGUUUCGGCUAGGGGGCCAUCCCGGCUUACCAACCCGAUGCAAACUGCGAAUACCGGAGAAUGUUAUCACGGGAGACACACGGCGGGUGCUAACGUCCGUCGUGAAGAGGGAAACAACCCAGACCGCCAGCUAAGGUCCCAAAGUCAUGGUUAAGUGGGAAACGAUGUGGGAAGGCCCAGACAGCCAGGAUGUUGGCUUAGAAGCAGCCAUCAUUUAAAGAAAGCGUAAUAGCUCACUGGUCGAGUCGGCCUGCGCGGAAGAUGUAACGGGGCUAAACCAUGCACCGAAGCUGCGGCAGCGAACGUAUCACCCAAGACAACUUUACGGAGUUGACGAUUGACGGAGCGAAGCGACGUCAAAGCGUUCAUUAAAGUCGAGUUGGCUUAGGGAUACGUUCGUUGGGUAGGGGAGCGUUCUGUAAGCCUGUGAAGGUGUGUCGUGAGGCAUGCUGGAGGUAUCAGAAGUGCGAAUGCUGACAUAAGUAACGAUAAAGCGGGUGAAAAGCCCGCUCGCCGGAAGACCAAGGGUUCCUGUCCAACGUUAAUCGGGGCAGGGUGAGUCGACCCCUAAGGCGAGGCCGAAAGGCGUAGUCGAUGGGAAACGGGUUAAUAUUCCCGUACUUGGUGUUACUGCGAAGGGGGGACGGAGAAGGCUAUGUUGGCCGGGCGACGGUUGUCCCGGUUUAAGCGUGUAGGUGUGUGUUCCAGGUAAAUCCGGUUCACUUUAACACUGAGGCGUGACGACGAGGCACUACGGUGCUGAAGCAACAAAUGCCCUGCUUCCAGGAAAAGCCUCUAAGCAUCAGGUAACACGAAAUCGUACCCCAAACCGACACAGGUGGUCAGGUAGAGAAUACCAAGGCGCUUGAGAGAACUCGGGUGAAGGAACUAGGCAAAAUGGUGCCGUAACUUCGGGAGAAGGCACGCUGACACGUAGGUGAAGUGAUUUACUCAUGGAGCUGAAGUCAGUCGAAGAUACCAGCUGGCUGCAACUGUUUAUUAAAAACACAGCACUGUGCAAACACGAAAGUGGACGUAUACGGUGUGACGCCUGCCCGGUGCCGGAA